rnacentral:snRNA from 1 species
GUACUCACUUUGGCAGCACAUAUACUAAAAUUGGAACGAUAUAGAGAAGUUUAGCAUGGAUCCUGCACAAGGAAGACAUGCAAAUUCGUGAAGUGUUAUUUUUUUUU